UACGGGGGGAGCAAGCGUUGUUCGGAUUUACUGGGCGUAAAGGGCGCGUAGGCGGCGUGACAAGUCACUUGUGAAAUCUCCGGGCUUAACUCGGAGCGGCCAAGUGAUACUGUCGUGCUAGAGUGCGGAAGGGGCUACUGGAAUUCUCGGUGUAGCGGUGAAAUGCGUAGAUAUCGAGAGGAACACCUGCGGCGAAGGCGGGCUACUGGGCCGAUACUGACGCUGAUGCGCGAAAGCCAGGGGAGCAAACGGG
rnacentral:rRNA from 1 species